rnacentral:piRNA from 1 species
CACUACAUCAGUCUCUGCAAGCCAAUGGGU